rnacentral:snRNA from 1 species
UGAGUAUCUCAAUCAGAUAUU